UCUUAAAAAAAAAAUAUGAAAAAUAUAUAUGAAAUAAAAAAGAAUAAAUAAUAAUGAGAGUCAUUUGACUUGACUCUGCCAUGCAAAAUAUGGCCAGAGUUGUUGGGGGGGUUUUUGGACAGAAGAGGAAGAAAGGUUGGGGAGUGGUGUGUCAUGGUGGCAGCAAAUAGAGGAGGCAGUCUGAGCAUAGCAGUGCUGCCAUGGCUAAAAGGCAACUCCACACAUAAGCAAAGGGGGGGAACCGUUUGAAAAAAAAAACUGGCUAGCAGAAAAAGAGGGAGGGGGCGAGAGACACAGGGCUAACUGGCAGCAGAGAAAAGAUUUCAAAAUAUAUCCAGAGCAACAAAAGAAAAAGAACUUCCUAGCACAAAGGAGCUCGAACAGAUUUUCAUCACAUAAGAGGAACAGAAGAUGGCAGAAUAACACUUGGAAAAGAAAAAGCAAACGAGCAAAAAAGGAAAGAAGAAUCGUUUGAGUCGCGUAGACACUGAUAGGGAGGACUGCGAGAGAUGCGAGGAACACCCGUGGACAACAGGGAGGUGAUGGUUCCGCUGCAUAGUCCGCGUGGACUGGACCUUAUCCCUUAAUGGGCUUUUCUUUAGGGUUAUGGCCGAUGUAUUGCUUUAUGCUUUAUUACUCUACUUUCAUCUGUUAAACUUUUCAACUGGUUUUCUGUUGGCAUCGUGGUGUGCCUAGUUUUGUAGGGGUGGUGCGAAGGACCCUAUGACUGUGUUGUUGUAUUAUUUGUGUGUGGCGUUUCUUUUAAUUACGCUUAUUAAUUAAAUGGGACGUUACAAAGAAA